UCCAGAGAAGAGGCCGAGUCCCACGUCUGAGCUGGGGCAGUGAAAGGGGGCGGAGUGGGCGGAGAGUCUGGAGAAAGUUGUGAGCCGCUGGGAAUCCGGAUAAAUCUUGACUAUGGCCGCUCUCAUGUUGCAAAGGCAGGGCUGAAAAGAUGCAACAGAGGCUGCGUGUGGCACCCUCACCGAUCUGCACUGUGGCUCAGUGGCUGUUGUGUGAUAGAGGUGGGCUGGCCUGUGUUCCUGGUUCCUGGAAGUUACCCUGUAAAUUCUUGGAAUUUCCCAAGUGAUAGGAGCGUCUUUGUCAUUCAUGGUGUAGCCUGGUAGUUUAUGCUAGAGAGGUGACACGUGGUCCUCCCUGGAUAGUUUGUGCUAAUGAGAUGAUACAGAUUGGGGACAGGCCACACCAUGUGAUUAGAACCUUUUGAGGAACUCGAUAUCAGUUUGACCUCUGGAGAAGGAAGUGGGGCUGGAGCUUGAAUUAAUUUGCUUGGCCAUUGAUUCAAUCGUGUCUGUGUAAUGAAACGCCAUUAAAAAUUCUAGACACGAACCUUAGAUGGGCUUCCCUGGUUGCUGAAACACAUUGAAAUGCUGGGAGACUGACAUGUCCUAAGAACAUGGACGACUUCACGUUUGGGAAUGGGAAAACUUCCCCCUGUGCGCCUUUGCAUUCUGCUGGUCCUGAUUUGUAUCCUUUAUAAUAAAACAGUCAUCGUAAGUAUAGCA